rnacentral:rRNA from 1 species
CCUACGGGUGGCUGCAGUGGGGAAUAUUGGACAAUGGGGGAAACCCUGAUCCAGCAAUGCCGCGUGUGUGAAGAAGGCCUGCGGGUUGUAAAGCCCUUUCGGUUGGGAAGAAAAGUUUGGCGCCAAUACCGCCGAACCUUGACGUUACUGACAGAAGAAGCACCGGCUAACUCUGUGCCAGCCGCCGCGGUAAUACAGAGGGUGCCAGCGUUCAUCGGGAUCACGUAGCGUAUCACGUGCGUAGGGGGUGAAAUCCCCGGGCUUAACCUGGGAACUGCAUUCGAUACUACAUGGCUAGAGUAUGGUAGAGGGAAGUGGAAUUUCCGGUGUAGCGGUGAAAUGCGUAGAUAUCGGAAGGAACACCAAUGGCGAAGGCAGCUUCCUGGACUAAUACUGACACUGAGGCACGAAAGCGUGGGUAGCAAACAGGAUUAGAUACCCUGGUAGUC